AGGCAGCACCUGCUCACUUGCAGCGACGCGCUACCUGGAGAUUUGUUGCUGGAGCUGAACGCAUGCACCAGAGGGACUUAAAGGUUCCCACAUCAGGAGGGGGAGAAUGAAAACCAAACAGAAAAACUAAGGAAAUUGAUGUCAGGAACACUUUCUCUCAUGUACUACUGCCUGCUUUCAAGGGGAUGUGGAAAAAGAUAGCUGUUUUGGGAAUUUAAAUUGGGCCUUUCCAUAAGACUAACACGACUAUGUUGACUGCAAAUUUCACUGCAGUUAGGUCUUGGAGACAAAGAAAGUUUCUGUAACAUUUUCACAAGUACUUAUCAGCAUAUUUAAUUUCUAAUUAAUUAUUUAUAAUGUUCUAAUAAGCAUAAUUAAAAACAUUAUCCUGCCAGAAAGAACAGGCUAGGCUUUUUCCUACUUUGUGGGUGAUUUGUUCAUGAUGAGAUGUUGUUAAAAAUCACUCAGCUAUGCCUGCACAUAAUGUAUAUUUCCAAUAUAAAGAGAGAAGCAACCACUAGAACCGAGAGUGUACAGCUGGAUUUUGUAUGAGAGAUGACAAGACAUAUUAAGCAGGAAGAAGACAAACACUGAGACAAGAACAUAUUCUAACUGCUGCUUCAAACACACCACUUGGUGAAGCAACAACUGGAGGGCUGGUAAUGUACCUAGAGAUCAUUUCCAAAAGAAAGAAGCAGCAAGGCUAUCACUUGCAGAAAGGCUUCCGAAGAGAGUUUCCGUGGUUUGCUGAAAUGGUGCGACUCCCCCAGGCUCAGUCAGACUGAGCGCACUCGGGACUGCUUUCAAAAGAACUGAGGACAAUUGAAAAAGAACAGAGUCCAACAGAGUGUGUACGGUGGCAGUUUUAAAGCUACCACUUCAGCUUUACAUUCUUUCUCAUUUGUGGAUAUGAAGUCAUAAGGAGCUGAUUAUUAUAAUGCAAAAAUUAAUGAUCAUACCCCCAGGUUACUGCACAUGAAUCUUUCUUUGGAGUUUUUGGAAAGAAGCACUAUAAGAGGUGCAGCACAGAUUGACUUCUCUUCAGCUGGGCCAUGUUAGUGGCAGUGGCCUCUCUGGCAUGCAGGCUGGGUUCGUGGUCGGUCAGCGACACACUGCCCAGCACAUGCUGGAUGUGCCUGGCAGUCUCCACGAUUGAGAAAGACAGCUCUUCACUCUGCUCUUCCCCACACGACUAGAUUGGUACUCCAAUUUGAAUGUCCUGGAUUCGGAUAUUCAAGAAUAAAACCAUAAAUAGCUACACAUCAUAGGGAAGGCAUGGAGCACAAGUGACGAGGUUUUCCCAGACCUGAGCUUGCUCUGCACAUGGUCACUCUGGGCUUUUGUGUUGUGGUCCAGUGAUUGUACUUUGAAAAACCAGCUGAAGUGAGGAGGCUGGGUCAAAAGACAGUGGAAGCCCCAAGACUGUGAAUAAGAAGUGAGAGCUGAGACUCAUUUUUAAAAAAACAGAAAGUCUCUGUACUCUGUAAUGCAUCUUUUCUGCCUCAACGUCUCACUCAGUAGUUGCUGGAGUAUUAUAAAAUAGGACUGCGAUUGCUGAGCUCAAGCAAUGGAUUUUCCUUGUCCAAGAGGAGUUCCGGUAACCGUAGGUGUGAAGGAUUAAGCAUAACAGAUCAGGCUUAACAUGUGGCCAUGCAACAGCCUGAUUCAAAGAACAAAACCUGUUACAGACGACAGAAAGUUACAAUAAUUUCCAGACACAGUGUUCGUACAAUAGUCCCAGUUCCCCAAUUUGAGUUCUGUAGCUUUCACGUGGCAACACAGACACACAGCUAAUGCAAAGCUCUGGAAAAAAAACAACUGGGUCUCCGGAACAGUUCUUUAGAAGUUCAGUAAAUAUGUACAUUAUCCCAAUUAUUACUGAAAAAUAGUGUAACAAAAAGAUGUGUAACUUGUCCAUGUCUGAUAACAGUAUUUUCUUCUAAAUGAGAAGGAGGGAGCACUUACGUUUCAUAGGAUGUGAAUGCAUAACCCAUGGCAUUGUUACAGUGGCAAAGUGCAAACAUCAGGAAAACAGUUGAGGAAAUGCCUGUUUGAAAGAGGAACUGAGUAAUCGUUGGUGUGAAAAUCUUACCUUUGUAAAGCAGCUCUAGGAGUUCUCUACGCCUCUUCUUCAUGUCAAUUUCCACCUCCUACCAAGUCAGUCUGCAAAAUAAAGACCUCUAUAAAACUCAGUACCUUAAUGCCUAUGACUGUGUAACUUUCAGUCCUAGACUUUUUAAAAUUUCCAAUGCCAAUGACAAGCAAGCAAAAAGCCUUUUUUUUCAAAUAAAAAAACUAAGCCUAGGAAAAAACUCCUCAAUUUGCUUUAUGUACUGAGUAACAUACACAAAAUACUUCUGCACUACCAAAGAUAAAAGCUGUAGCAAGAUAAAGAGGGCAAAAUAUUUAGGAAAAGUCUACUAGACCUACUUUUAACAAACAUUAGGACCUUGACUUAGAACAAAAAGACCUGAAUAAAUCCUAUAUACAUUCAAAACCACUUGUUAAUAAAGAAGUGCUGACAUGUCA